CUUGUAAAUUCAGUGAAUUAAAUUUCACCAAAAAAACACUGAAAACAUUUUUCCCCACAAAUAUAAAGCUAAUGUAGUUUGUAAUUAAUUGAAUAAUGCUGGUUUAAAAGAAAGAAAGACAACACUAAAAAAGCUGCAAAUGAAUAGACCAUAUUACAGCAUAUUCAUCAAACAUUAUCUUUACACAACCUGUCAGCUUUUAGUUUGAUGCUUCUUCCAGAUGUUUCAAGCUCACAGAACAUAAAACUUCUGUAAAACCUAAAUUAAGACAGCAAUAUGUGACAUAAUAGCUUUGGUAAAUUAUUUCUUGUUCACAGGAUGGUUUCUGGAAUCAUGAGGAUUAGUCCUUCACAUUGAACAUCAAAGAGUCUGGCACAGACAGAGAAGAUAAACUCUGACCCUUGCCAGAUGAGACCUGAACCUUAGCACAACCUCCCUCAAACCAGAUGGGUGUCCACAGAUGAGCCAACAGGAGACAGUGGCUGAAAAGAGACAGUGCUGCAAUUGCCUUCUAAGAGAGAUGAGUUUUGGUGAUUUAUGUCAAAUGAAGCAACUCUUACAGUGUGUAAAUUGA
rnacentral:lncRNA from 1 species